AAGGAGUCGUCUUCGUAUGCGAGUGUUCGGGUGUAAAACCCCUACGCGUAAUGAAAGUGAACGCAGGUGAGAGCUUCGGCGCAUCACCGACCGAUCCUGAUGUCCUCGGAUAGAUUUGAGUAAGAGCAUGCGGGGCCGGACCCGAAAGAAGGUGAACUAUGCCUGUGUAGGGUGAAGCCAGAGGAAACUCUGGUGGAGGCUCGUAGCGGUUCUGACGUGCAAAUCGAUCGUCAAAUAUGGGCAUAGGGGCGAAAGACUAAUCGAACCUUCUAGUAGCUGGUUUCCGC
rnacentral:misc_RNA from 1 species